GACGAAGGGAGCGAGCGUUAUCCGUAAUGACUGGGCGUAAAGCGUUCGUAGAUGGUUAAAAAAGUCUUGAAAGCAAAAGCCAUACUUGUAAAAAGUUGAAAGCUUUUCAAAACGAAAUUUAACUAGAGGAAAAAAAUAGGUAAGUUGGAUUUUGCAAGGAGGGAUGGUAUCCAGAGAUAUGCAAAGGAAGAUCAAUUGGCAAUGGCGAUUUACUGGUUUUUUUACUAACAUUGAGGAACGAAAGUGUGGGGAGCAAACAGG
rnacentral:rRNA from 1 species